GGGUUGUGAGGUUAAGCGACUAAGCGUACACGGUGGAUGCCCUGGCAGUCAGAGGCGAUGAAGGACGUGCUAAUCUGCGAUAAGCGUCGGUAAGGUGAUAUGAACCGUUAUAACCGGCGAUUUCCGAAUGGGGAAACCCAGUGUGAUUCGUCACACUAUCAUUAACUGAAUCCAUAGGUUAAUGAGGCGAACCGGGGGAACUGAAACAUCUAAGUACCCCGAGGAAAAGAAAUCAACCGAGAUUCCCCCAGUAGCGGCGAGCGAACGGGGAGGAGCCCAGAGCCUGAAUCAGUGUGUGUGUUAGUGGAAGCGUCUGGAAAGGCGCGCGAUACAGGGUGACAGCCCCGUACACAAAAAUGCACAUACUGUGAGCUCGAUGAGUAGGGCGGGACACGUGGUAUCCUGUCUGAAUAUGGGGGGACCAUCCUCCAAGGCUAAAUACUCCUGACUGACCGAUAGUGAACCAGUACCGUGAGGGAAAGGCGAAAAGAACCCCGGCGAGGGGAGUGAAAAAGAACCUGAAACCGUGUACGUACAAGCAGUGGGAGCACAGAGCAAUCUGUGUGACUGCGUACCUUUUGUAUAAUGGGUCAGCGACUUAUAUUCUGUAGCAAGGUUAACCGAAUAGGGGAGCCGAAGGGAAACCGAGUCUUAACUGGGCGUUAAGUUGCAGGGUAUAGACCCGAAACCCGGUGAUCUAGCCAUGGGCAGGUUGAAGGUUGGGUAACACUAACUGGAGGACCGAACCGACUAAUGUUGAAAAAUUAGCGGAUGACUUGUGGCUGGGGGUGAAAGGCCAAUCAAACCGGGAGAUAGCUGGUUCUCCCCGAAAGCUAUUUAGGUAGCGCCUCGUGAAUUCAUCUCCGGGGGUAGAGCACUGUUUCGGCAAGGGGGUCAUCCCGACUUACCAACCCGAUGCAAACUGCGAAUACCGGAGAAUGUUAUCACGGGAGACACACGGCGGGUGCUAACGUCCGUCGUGAAGAGGGAAACAACCCAGACCGCCAGCUAAGGUCCCAAAGUCAUGGUUAAGUGGGAAACGAUGUGGGAAGGCCCAGACAGCCAGGAUGUUGGCUUAGAAGCAGCCAUCAUUUAAAGAAAGCGUAAUAGCUCACUGGUCGAGUCGGCCUGCGCGGAAGAUGUAACGGGGCUAAACCAUGCACCGAAGCUGCGGCAGCGACGCUUAUGCGUUGUUGGGUAGGGGAGCGUUCUGUAAGCCUGCGAAGGUGUGCUGUGAGGCAUGCUGGAGGUAUCAGAAGUGCGAAUGCUGACAUAAGUAACGAUAAAGCGGGUGAAAAGCCCGCUCGCCGGAAGACCAAGGGUUCCUGUCCAACGUUAAUCGGGGCAGGGUGAGUCGACCCCUAAGGCGAGGCCGAAAGGCGUAGUCGAUGGGAAACAGGUUAAUAUUCCUGUACUUGGUGUUACUGCGAAGGGGGGACGGAGAAGGCUAUGUUGGCCGGGCGACGGUUGUCCCGGUUUAAGCGUGUAGGCUGGUUUUCCAGGCAAAUCCGGAAAAUCAAGGCUGAGGCGUGAUGACGAGGCACUACGGUGCUGAAGCAACAAAUGCCCUGCUUCCAGGAAAAGCCUCUAAGCAUCAGGUAACAUCAAAUCGUACCCCAAACCGACACAGGUGGUCAGGUAGAGAAUACCAAGGCGCUUGAGAGAACUCGGGUGAAGGAACUAGGCAAAAUGGUGCCGUAACUUCGGGAGAAGGCACGCUGAUAUGUAGGUGAAGUCCCUCGCGGAUGGAGCUGAAAUCAGUCGAAGAUACCAGCUGGCUGCAACUGUUUAUUAAAAACACAGCACUGUGCAAACACGAAAGUGGACGUAUACGGUGUGACGCCUGCCCGGUGCCGGAAGGUUAAUUGAUGGGGUUAGCGCAAGCGAAGCUCUUGAUCGAAGCCCCGGUAAACGGCGGCCGUAACUAUAACGGUCCUAAGGUAGCGAAAUUCCUUGUCGGGUAAGUUCCGACCUGCACGAAUGGCGUAAUGAUGGCCAGGCUGUCUCCACCCGAGACUCAGUGAAAUUGAACUCGCUGUGAAGAUGCAGUGUACCCGCGGCAAGACGGAAAGACCCCGUGAACCUUUACUAUAGCUUGACACUGAACAUUGAGCCUUGAUGUGUAGGAUAGGUGGGAGGCUUUGAAGUGUGGACGCCAGUCUGCAUGGAGCCGACCUUGAAAUACCACCCUUUAAUGUUUGAUGUUCUAACGUUGACCCGUAAUCCGGGUUGCGGACAGUGUCUGGUGGGUAGUUUGACUGGGGCGGUCUCCUCCUAAAGAGUAACGGAGGAGCACGAAGGUUGGCUAAUCCUGGUCGGACAUCAGGAGGUUAGUGCAAUGGCAUAAGCCAGCUUGACUGCGAGCGUGACGGCGCGAGCAGGUGCGAAAGCAGGUCAUAGUGAUCCGGUGGUUCUGAAUGGAAGGGCCAUCGCUCAACGGAUAAAAGGUACUCCGGGGAUAACAGGCUGAUACCGCCCAAGAGUUCAUAUCGACGGCGGUGUUUGGCACCUCGAUGUCGGCUCAUCACAUCCUGGGGCUGAAGUAGGUCCCAAGGGUAUGGCUGUUCGCCAUUUAAAGUGGUACGCGAGCUGGGUUUAGAACGUCGUGAGACAGUUCGGUCCCUAUCUGCCGUGGGCGCUGGAGAACUGAGGGGGGCUGCUCCUAGUACGAGAGGACCGGAGUGGACGCAUCACUGGUGUUCGGGUUGUCAUGCCAAUGGCACUGCCCGGUAGCUAAAUGCGGAAGAGAUAAGUGCUGAAAGCAUCUAAGCACGAAACUUGCCCCGAGAUGAGUUCUCCCUGACUCCUUGAGAGUCCUGAAGGAACGUUGAAGACGACGACGUUGAUAGGCCGGGUGUGUAAGCGCAGCGAUGCGUUGAGCUAACCGGUACUAAUGAACCGUGAGGCUUAACCUUACAACGCCGAAG
rnacentral:rRNA from 1 species